AUCACUCCUUUUGAACUUGUAAGAAAGUAAACCGAUCUCCAAUCAGAGAUCAAAGACCAAUGAAGCAUAUAAUUAUUUUGAUUGAUUUAUCUACUUAUUACAGUACAUAUUGUAAGUUUUGGUGUAAUGAAUGACAUUUGUGACAGGUAAUGUCAGGUAACAUUGUCAGAUUUCACCUGGGGGAGUACAUAUUACAUGUCCAGUCACACUAAUAAGUCACACUAAUGUUCUCAGAAAGGUAUUGCAAACAACAUAUAUAUAUAAUGUAUAUAGUGUAUUGGUCAUAUACAUGUUGGUAGGGUCAUGAGAGACCUUCUACAGCCAGAAAGAUUGUAUUGUAAAAAUAUAACACUGAUAUAAGUCACUUAAUGUUCUCAGAAAAGUAUUGCAAACAACAUAUAUAGUGUAUUGGUAGGGGACGACAUCAAAAGUUCAAUGAAGGAUGAAAAACUUAAUUCAAAUAGUUUUUUCACUGACCCCCCUACCCCCCUAUUAACUUAGUUUGGGAAAAAUUGAUUGACCCAUAUGGAUAUAUGUAAAAAUCAAUGUCGGAUAACCAAAUCUUGCAGCAGUUCAACCCCCCCACCCCCAAACUAUUUGAAGUAAGUUUAUU
rnacentral:lncRNA from 1 species